rnacentral:rRNA from 1 species
UACGUAGGGGGCAAGCGUUGUCCGGAUUUAUUGGGCGUAAAGAGCGUGUAGGCGGCCAGGUAGGUCCGUUGUGAAAACUCGAGGCUCAACCUCGAGACGUCGGCGGAAACCCUCUGGCUAGAGUCCGGAAGAGGAGAGUGGAAUUCCUGGUGUAGCGGUGAAAUGCGCAGAUAUCAGGAGGAACACCGAUUGCGAAGGCAGCUCGCUGGGACGUCACUGACGCUGAGACGCGAAAGCGUGGGGAGCAAACAGG